GGUCGGUUAACUCAGUUGGUUAGAGUGUGGUGCUAAUAUCUCUGAUAUGAUACGCCAAAGUCGCGGGUUCAACCCCCGCACUGACCU